rnacentral:tRNA from 1 species
GCGGGUGUGGUCUAAUCUGGUAGGACAGAAGCUUCCCAUGCUUCUAGUCCGGGUUCAAAUCCCGGCACCCGCA